CUACGGGCCGCUGCAGUAAGGAAUAUUGCGCAAUGGAGGCAACUCUGACGCAGCCAUGCCGCGUGCAGGAAGAAGGCCUUAUGGGUCGUAAACUGCUUUUACUUAGGAAUAAACCCCCGAACGUGUUCGGGGCUGAAGGUACUGAAUGAAUAAGCACCGGCUAACUCCGGCCAGCAGCCGCGGUAAUACGGAGGGUGCAAGCGUUAUCCGGAUUUAUUGGGUUUAAAGGGUGCGCAGGCGGGCUAUUAAGUCAGUGGUGAAAUCCCGGGGCUCAACUCCGGAACUGCCAUUGAUACUGAUAGUCUUGAGUUUGGUUGAAGUGGGCGGAAUGUAGCAUGUAGCGGUGAAAUGCAUAGAUAUGCUACAGAACACCAAUCGCGAAGGCAGCUCACUAAGCCAAAACUGACGCUCAUGCACGAAAGCGUGGGGAUCAAACAGGAUUAGAUACCCUUGUAGUC
rnacentral:rRNA from 1 species